rnacentral:rRNA from 1 species
GGGUGAGUAACACGUGGGUAACCUACCUAUAAGACUGGGAUAACUACGGGAAACCGGAGCUAAUACCGGAUAAUAUAUUGAACCGCAUGGUUCAAUAGUGAAAGACGGUUUUGCUGUCACUUAUAGAUGGAUCCGCGCCGCAUUAGCUAGUUGGUAAGGUAACGGCUUACCAAGGCAACGAUGCGUAGCCGACCUGAGAGGGUGAUCGGCCACACUGGAACUGAGACACGGUCCAG